UACGUAGGCAGCAAGCGUUGUUCGGAGUUACUGGGCGUAAAGGGUGCGUAGGCGGCUUUUUAAGUUUGGUGUGAAAUCUCCCGGCUCAACUGGGAGGGUGCGCCGAAUACUGAGAGGCUAGAGUGUGGGAGAGGAAAGUGGAAUUCCUGGUGUAGCGGUGAAAUGCGUAGAUAUCAGGAGGAACACCGGUGGUGUAAACGGCUUUCUGGACCGAUAACUGACGCUGAGGCACGAAAGCGUGGGUAGCAAACAGG
rnacentral:rRNA from 1 species